rnacentral:rRNA from 1 species
ACUAAACUGUUAGAUGGACAGCUUGGCUUGAGUUGCUAUGAAGGACGUAGCAAGCUGCGAUAAGUCUUGGCGAGGCGCAUGCAGCCUUUGAACCAAGAAUUUCUGAAUCCGAUUAGGACUCUUCGGAGUGUAUCGCAAGAUAGGCCGACGCGGGGAAUUGAAACAUCUUAGUACCCGCAGGAAAAGAAAACAAAAGUGAUUCCCCAAUUAGCAGCGAGCGAAAAGGGAACAGAGCAAACUGAAUCUCUUUGUGAAAGCGAAGAGAGAUGUGGUGUUGCAGAAAUCCGUGCGAAAGCGGCUUUUCCUCAUCAGUGAGUCAAACUCUGCUGGAAUGCAGGGCCAUAGAGGGUGAUAGCCCCGUAGAUAAAACUGGAAGGAAGAGUGGAUUUUCUAGAGUAGUACCUCCUGGAUACGAGGUACGAACUUGCUCUACUAAGAGCAAACUCUAAAUAUAAACUCAAGUCCGAUAGCGAAUAGUACUGUAAAGGAACGCUGAAAAGCACUUUUGGUAGAGAGUUAAAAGAGCUUGAAAUCUAACAGUGACACUCUCGCUACGGACUCCUGCUCGAAAGAGACAGGGUUUGUAGCAUACGUUUUGAAAAACGGGCCAGGGAGUUUAGUCAAGUGGCAAGGUUAAGCGCAAGCGGAGCCGAAGCGAAAGCGAAUCUCUUUGAGAGCCUCUGAAAGGGGGUAAGUCACUUGGCUAUGACCCGAAUCCGGGUGAUCUACUCGUGGGUAAGGUGAAGCCCCUCUAACGAGGGGUGGAGGCCUGAACCAGUGUUAUGUACAUGUACUUGGAUGACCUAUGAGUAGGGGUGAAAAGCCAAUCUAACCCGGUGAUAGCUGGUUCCUGCCGAAAUAUGCCUAAGUAUAGCCUCUUGUUGCUCGCGCAUAUAGUAAAGACACGGAUGGAGAAUGCAGGGCGUUACGCUACGGUUCUCUUUCCAACUCAGAAAAUAUGCGCUGCAUUACAAGGGAGUGAGAGCGUGUGGGUAAGCUACAUGUUCACAAGCUGAUCAAAGCAACGCGUGGUUAAGGUCCCUAAAUAUAAGCUAAGUGUAACGAAAGUUGUCUGCAACCGAAGACAGCGGGGAGGUAGGCUCAGAGGCAGCCAUCCUUUAAAGAAAGCGUAACAGCUCACCCUCCAAGGUUCCGGGCGCUGAAGAUGGACGGGGCUAAGCUUAUUACCGAUACCAUGCCGCAUUCUGGAUAAGAAUGUCGGGUAGGCAGGCGUGGCGCUUGAGUUGAAGUUUUCUCAUAAGAGGAGAUGGAUCGAGUGCUAUCGAGAAUCCUGGUAGCAGUAGGAACAGACUUUGCUGAAAAAGCAAAGUGCCGCAAGAGCAAGGGUUCCUUGGCAAUGUCAAUCAACCAAGGGUUAGUCGGUCCUAAGUCGCUGCUUAACUGCAAACGGCGAAAGGAUAGAAGGUUAAUAUUCCUUCACUACUUGAUUACAUCGCAAGAAAAGCUUGCUAGAUAGCCUCGGGAUAGUCGGAGUGCAGCCGUCGCUGCACAAGGAGCGAGAAAUCUGUGGAGCGUAAUGCUGAGAAUCAGAUGAAUCUCUUCUGUAUCUGCUGAAUCCUAGGGUCCGUGAAAAGCUAUGCAAGUUGAAGUCAAGUAACCGUACCGAGAACCGGCACAGGUGCUCUAGCUAAGAAGGCUAAGGCAUGAAAGUGUAAUCUAGGUAAGGGAAUUCGGCAAUUUGGUGGCGUAAGUUAGCGAGAAGCCAUGCCUUUCUUUGGAAAAGGAAGGUUGCAAUAACAAGAGGCGCCCGACUGUUUAACAAAAACGUAGCCAAGUGCAAAGUCGAAAGGCUUAGUAUACUUGGUGAGACCUGCCCAGUUGCGGUGCUUUAAAGCCCUUUUCAAGGGGCCUAAGACCCGCAAAACGGCGGGGGUAACUAUGACCCUCAGCUUAAGGGGGCAUUAAAAUUUGGCUAUAUGCGGGAAACUCUCGUUAAGUCUUUGGUACUCGAUUUACGAGUAAAAAUCCAAAGAAUAGAGACAAUCCGCAGGGAAGAUUUCUCAAUGAGAAAAACCCUCAGAGACUGCACGCCAGACUAAACAUUUUUAGAAAUUUUGGAUUAGAAGUUUCUUGAUUAAACUUCUUUUCUAAAGAAGUUUAGAUGAUACAGUCCGACCCUCAUGGAGACAUGAGGAGUUGCGCAGAAAUGUGCAAUCGCCAUCUGGAAGGAUGGUUAGUAGUUCUCGCAAGAGGAUGAAAGUAACAGACAGCUUAAGGUAAAUCACAGAAAAGUUGCCUUAGUAAAAUCUGGCUAUAUGCUGGAAAAUCCGAGUAUCUCAAGCUACCACAAAGCAUUUUAAGGAUAUAUCAUACCUUAACUAUGUGGUGAAAAUGUUAUGAGUGCGGACAAUCAGCAGGGAAGGCUAGACAAAGAUUGGAUUGUUGGUUUUACAGACGGCGAAGGUUGCUUUCACGUUGCAAUCAACAAAAUUAGUGGAAUGUCGCUUGGAUACCAAGUGCUGCCGGAAUUCAGAAUUGUUCAGCACGAAAAAGAUGAAAAAGUUCUUUUUCAAUUGCAAGAAUAUUUUGGAUUUGGUGGAGUAAGAGUCAACAGAAAGGACAAGAACGGAAUUAGGAAAGAAUUCAGAGUUCGAGGACUAGAGAACUUAGAGAAACUCUCUGAGUUUUUUAGAAAAAAUCCUCUCAAAACUACGAAAAUGGAAAACUUUGAGUUGUUUUCAAAAGUUCUUGAGUUGAUGAGAAACAAAGAACAUUUGACUGAAAAAGGAUUGCACAGGAUCGCUACAAUCGCAAGUAAGAUGAACAGACAGGUAAAACCAAUUUUUCUAAGAAGAAAAU